AGAGAGGUGUCCGAGUGGUCGAAGGAGCACGAUUGGAAAUCGUGUAGGAUCUAACCGGGUCUCGAGGGUUCGAAUCCCUUCCUCUCUGCCA
rnacentral:tRNA from 1 species